UACGAAGGGGGCUAGCGUUGUUCGGAAUUACUGGGCGUAAAGGGCGCGUAGGCGGUACUUCAAGUCAGGCGUGAAGCCCCGGGCUCAACCUGGGAACCGCGCUUGAGACUGGAGAACUAGAGUUCGGGAGAGGAUGGUGGAAUUCCCAGUGUAGAGGUGAAAUUCGUAGAUAUUGGGAAGAACACCGAUGGCGAAGGCAGCCAUCUGGACCGACACUGACGCUGAGGCGCGAAAGCGUGGGGAGCGAACAGG
rnacentral:rRNA from 1 species